rnacentral:rRNA from 1 species
GCCUACGGGAGGCAGCAGUGAGGAAUAUUGGUCAAUGGUCGGGAGACUGAACCAGCCAAGCCGCGUGAGGGAGGAAGGUACAGAGUAUCGUAAACCUCUUUUGUCAGGGAACAAAGGCGGGGACGUGUCCCCGGAUGAGUGUACCUGAAGAAAAAGCAUCGGCUAACUCCGUGCCAGCAGCCGCGGUAAUACGGAGGAUGCGAGCGUUAUCCGGAUUUAUUGGGUUUAAAGGGUGCGCAGGCGGUCUGUUAAGUCAGCGGUCAAAGCACGGGGUUCAACCCCGGCCCGCCGUUGAAACUGGCAGG